AAUAUUGCGCAAUGGGGGAAACCCUGACGCAGCAACGCCGCGUGAGCGAGGAAGGCCUUCGGGUCGUAAAGCUCAGUCUAGAGGGAUGAAACAUGACAGUACCUCUGGAGGAAGCCCCGGCUAACUACGUGCCAGCAGCCGCGGUAAUACGUAGGGGGCAAGCGUUGUCCGGAUUUACUGGGCGUAAAGGGCGCGUAGGCGGUAGUAUAAGUCAGAUGUGAAAGUCCAGGGCUCAACCGUGGAAUUGCAUUUGAAACUGUGCUACUUGAGUGCAGGGGAGGAGAGCGGAAUCCCUAGUGUAGCGGUGAAAUGCGUAGAGAUUAGGAAGAACACCAGUGGCGAAGGCGGCUCUCUGGACUGUAACUGACGCUGAGGCGCGAAAGCGUGGGUAGCGAACA
rnacentral:rRNA from 1 species